UUGUUCAAUGACAUAGGCAGGCUCUUGAACAAGCCUUUUGUAGGCGAGCUCCUGGAGGAUUUCAUUGACAUUGCUGGCUGUUGGUAACCUUCUGCAGCUGUGGUUGUCUAGGAUCUCAAUUAAUUCUUCUUGGUCGACGCUGUUAAAAUCUGAUCUCCAUGAUUCAAACACUGUACGCUCAGACUCGGGCAUGUAUUUGAGGAAAUUCUCCACGACAUCGCUCUUCGCAUAUCCAAAAGCAGCUUGCUCCAAUAUGACAGGUGCGAUCUUCACAGGAAGAUAUUUCUCCCUCGCCCAUCCAAAAGCAAUGAUUCGACCAACACUCUCCCACUGCUGCUGUCCAAAAUCAUGCCUUAGAAAAGGCACUUUAAGAGCAUUUCCCGUUGCACAUUGGUCGUAGAAUUCACUCCAGAAUUCUGAGAGACAAUCUCUCACAACUCCGCCAUCAUCAUACCCCAUCUCAAGUGUUCCAUCUGGCAGAACAAGCUGGAUUUUGAUGUCAACAUCUUGAAGUCCAUCAUCGCAGAAAUGUGCCAUGAGCUCUCGCAGUACCUGCCCUCUGUGAACAACUAAUAUUCUCUUCACCCUCUCACUGGAUGAUAUGGUUUGUGGUGAAACAGGCAGUGUAUCAUCCAAAUUCUGUUGCUCAUUUUCAGAAAAGUCUCCGACAAAAACAACGUUGCUGCUCUCAAAAGCAUCCUCACUCCCACCCUGUGUGGAAUACAGUGCAAAGUCAUAGAUAGAUAGAUAGAUAGAUAUAUACUUUAUUAAUCCCCAAGGGGAAAUUUGUCGAGUCAGUAGCAGCAACACACAAGAAUAAAUAAAAAUAAAAACACAAAAUAUAAGAAGGGUUAGGGUGAUCUGGCAAGAGGUGAACUGUUGUAGAGCCUCAUAGCCGUCGGCAGGAAUGUUCUCCUGUAUCUGUCCUUGUGGCAGCGGAGCGUGAGGAGACGUCUGGAGAAAGUACUCCUCUGUCCCUGUAGGAGGUGGUGCUCCAGCUGGCAGCCGAUGAUGGAGCCAGCCUUCCUAACCAGUUUGUUAAGACGGCUGGUGUCACCGGCUCCGAUGCUGCUCCCCCAGCAGACAAUGGCAAAGUGCAGCACACUGGCGACAACCGACUUGGAGUGCUUCCAAGGAAUAUCACUUCAGGGUUGACCGUUUCAAAUGUAGCAGAUGGCGGCGCUGUAGCAACACUGAGAGAAGAAGGGGAAGACGGAUUCUGAGAGCUCACCUGUCUCUCCAAAGAUGGAGCUAAACCUGCGCUGUGACUGUGUGGACUGUCCAUUAUUUUCUUCUGUGUGGUCAAAUAAAACCUAAGAAGAGGGA